rnacentral:lncRNA from 1 species
GCUGAUGCUGACUUGUUCAUCUCUUCCAACCUCUGCAAACAAAGUGGGAAAUUGGAUUUUUCUGAACACCCAGAUGACAACGGGAGAGGAGGCUCUGUGGCCUCCCGUAACCUGACUCCAGAGCCAGCAGUGUCUGUGGAGAGUCAGCAAGGGUAACCUGCCAGGGAGAAAACCUAAGAAGCCAUGGUGCAAACUGGUACCAGCAGAACCCUGCCAGAUGCCUGUGCAGGUCAUACAUGGGACUUUCUGCUUGGUCAGAAGAUUAACAAUUGUGUCUCCUGGUUCCACCAGCAACAGAGUAGAGACCCACA